rnacentral:rRNA from 1 species
CACCUUUUGACAUGCCUGGACAUCCAGAGAGAUCUGGCUUUCCCUUCGGGGACUGGGACACAGGUGCUGCAUGGCUGUCGUCAGCUCGUGUCGUGAGAUGUUGGGUUAAGUCCCGCAACGAGCGCAACCCUCGCGAUUAGUUGCCAUCAGGUUUGGCUGGGCACUCUAAUCGUACUGCCGGAGUUAAUCCGGAGGAAGGCGGGGAUGACGUCAAGUCCUCAUGGCCCUUACAAGGUGGGCUACACACGUGCUACAAUGGCGACUACAGAGGGCUGCAAUCCCGCGAGGGGGAGCCAAUCCCUAAAAGUCGUCUCAGUUCGGAUUGUUCUCUGCAACUCGAGAGCAUGAAGUUGGAAUCGCUAGUAAUCGCGGAUCAGCAUGCCGCGGUGAAUACGUUCCC